AAGUUACAAACCAAAAGUAAAUUGCUAAAGAAAAGUCCCAAUCUUCUCUAUUUGUACUGAUUGCUGAUACGACACACAGCAAAGUGAUUCUUUCAACAUCAUUCCCAUCAAUGGUAUUCCUACAGUUGCGUAGAUGAUGAGAAACAAGCGGCCAGCAGUUGUUUUUGGAACUGUAUUUCCGUAACCUUAAAAAAGUAAAAUCGUCAAUCGAUUGUAUUAAUCUUGAAAUAAAAUUAUAAGAACUUUAGAGAAUAUUCUGUGGCCAAAAAGAAGACCAAGAUUUUAUCAGAAGUAAACGGUCUUUGUUAUUUUUAACAGUUGAUCAAAAGAAUUUGGCUUAAUUUAGCGCGAGUACGUGUGAUAAAGAAUUGAGAUUAAUCAAAAGGAUUAUUAUAAUCAAAACAGAGGGUGGUAACUCUUCACAACAGCACAAUUGCUAAAAAAGCGGCGAAUUACAUUGGCCCGAGAGUAGAGAUGGGUCAUUCAUCUGGACAAACUUGGUCAAGAAAAGUAAAACGUAGCUGGUCUUCAAGUUCUUUUGUGUGAAAAUGGUGCGUAAACGCUGGCAAAACCGACGGAUGUUAAGACGAAUCAUCUGAAUAGUUCGUCUAUUUAGAGGAACUUGCAUGGAUGAUGGAUAGUUCGUUUUGAUGCAUCAUCUGUCUGUGAGUGUAAAUUCGAAAUGUGGAGAAAGCAAAGUAAAACGGAAACGAUACUACGUUAUUUGCUCCCAACUCUCCCAUAGUGUUUUACACCGAACGACAAUCUUCGGGCGAACGAAGUACCGUGAUUUCAUAUCAAAUUACUCGUCAUAAUUUCUUUCUCCCAAAACUUUCCAUAAAAACAAAGAUCAAAAUCUUGCUCUGCAUUGUUUAAGUCAAGACUGUCUAGUCAGUGACAUAUGUUGCUCGUGUAAACAUAAACUUAGACAUUCGUCGUUAACAGGUGUCAUUCAAUAGCAUCAUUUGCAUGCGUUUGACGCACUUUAUAUAAUGUAUUUUCACAAUAAGGAACAUUGGUCUUUGAAAAGCCUCUUGUCUGUCGUUCAUCUACUGUUGCAUGCUUGAUCAAUUCACGUGUGCUUGCUUCAAUACAAAAACAAUAAACGUUUAAAAAUGUGAACAGAGAAAUAUCACUUCGUUUAACUUGAGGAGAAUUUCUAUUUGAAAAUUGAAAUGAUUUUGUCUGUUUGUAAUUGUUCCCAUUACGGAAGCAAACCUAACUUUCGAGCCUCAGUAACAAAAGAAUUUGGAUUUGCAAACGUAACCAAAUAAGUCUUCUUUAACCAAAUAAACGUAACCAAAUAAGCAAACCUAA